GAUGAACGCUAGCUACAGGCUUAACACAUGCAAGUCGAGGGGUAACGAGAGGAAAGCUUGCUUUCCUUGUCGACGACCGGCGCACGGGUGAGUAACGCGUAUCCAACCUGCCCCCAACUAGGGAAUAACCUUGCGAAAGUAAGACUAAUACCCUAUAAUUUCCUCAGAUGUCAUCUGACGAGGAAUAAAGAUUUAUCGGUUGUGGAUGGGGAUGCGUCUGAUUAGCUUGUUGGGGGGGUAACGGCCCACCAAGGCAACGAUCAGUAGGGGUUCUGAGAGGAAGGUCCCCCACAUUGGGACUGAGACACGGUCCAAACUCCUACGGGAGGCAGCAGUGAGGAAUAUUGGUCAAUGGGCGGAAGCCUGAACCAGCCAAGUAGCGUGCAGGAUGACGGCCCUAUGGGUUGUAAACUGCUUUUAUACGGGAAUAAGGUUAGCCACGUGUGGUUAUUUGUAGGUACUGCAUGAAUAAGGACCGGCUAAUUCCGUGCCAGCCGCCGCGGUAA
rnacentral:rRNA from 1 species